rnacentral:rRNA from 1 species
CGCGGCCUAUCAGCUUGUUGGUGGGGUAAUGGCCCACCAAGGCUUCGACGGGUAGCCGGCCUGAGAGGGUGACCGGCCACACUGGGACUGAGACACGGCCCAGACUCCUACGGGAGGCAGCAGUGGGGAAUAUUGGACAAUGGGCGAAAGCCUGAUCCAGCAACGCCGCGUGAGGGAUGACGGCCUUCGGGUUGUAAACCUCUUUCAGUACCGACGAAGCGCCCUGUCGGGUGGUGACGGUAGGUACAGAAGAAGGACCGGCCAACUACGUGCCAGCAGCCGCGGUAAUACGUAGGGUCCGAGCGUUGUCCGGAAUUAUUGGGCGUAAAGGGCUCGUAGGCGGUUUGUCGCGUCGGGAGUGAAAUCUUACAGCUUAACUGUGAACUUGCUUCCGAUACGGGCAGACUUGAGGCAUUCAGGGGAGAACGGAAUUCCUGGUGUAGCGGUGAAAUGCGCAGAUAUCAGGAGGAACACCGGUGGCGAAGGCGGUUCUCUGGGAAUGUACUGACGCUGAGGAGCGAAAGUGUGGGGAGCGAACAGGAUUAGAUACCCUGGUAGUCCACACCGUAAACGUUGGGCGCUAGGUGUGGGGCCUAUUCCAUGGGUUCCGUGCCGCAGCUAACGCAUUAAGCGCCCCGCCUGGGGAGUACGG